rnacentral:rRNA from 1 species
UAGGGAAUCUUCCACAAUGGACGCAAGUCUGAUGGAGCAACGCCGCGUGAGUGAAGAAGGUCUUCGGAUCGUAAAACUCUGUUGUUAGAGAAGAACACGAGUGAGAGUAACUGUUCAUUCGAUGACGGUAUCUAACCAGCAAGUCACGGCUAACUACGUGCCAGCAGCCGCGGUAAUACGUAGGUGGCAAGCGUUGUCCGGAUUUAUUGGGCGUAAAGGGAACGCAGGCGGUCUUUUAAGUCUGAUGUGAAAGCCUUCGGCUUAACCAGAGUAGUGCAUUGGAAACUGGAAGACUUGAGUGCAGAAGAGGAGAGUGGAACUCCAUGUGUAGCGGUGAAAUGCGUAGAUAUAUGGAAGAACACCAGUGGCGAAAGCGGCUCUCUGGUCUGUAACUGACGCUGAGGUUCGAAAGCGUGGGUAGCAAACAGGAUUAGAUACCCUGGUAGUCCACGCCGUAAACGAUGAAUGCUAGGUGUUGGAGGGUUUCCGCCCUUCAGUGCCGCAGCUAACGCAAUAAGCAUUCCGCCUGGGGAGUACGACCGCAAGGUUG